GGGUAGCUGAGGGGAUGGUAGACCGGUGACGUGCACUUCAUUUACGAUGUAGGUCACCUGUUUGACUAUCCACCAGCGCCC
rfam:Papio anubis isolate 1X1155 chromosome 7, whole genome shotgun sequence.